GAGACAGUUAAACUCAUAAAUCGAAAAUAAACUGACAACGGCGUGCUAAAAAUGAAAGAAGACAAACAGACAAACAAAAGAACACAUGACACAACACGAACCCCACCAAAACUAGGGGUGAUCCCAGGUGCUCUGGAAGGGUAGCAGAUCCUGAUCCACAUGUUGCACCCGUCGUGUAGCUUAAAAGCGUUGUUGGUUUGUUUUUCUCUAUUCUUGACGUCUGCUGACAAUGAGAACAACAUUUUAUAUCAUAAAUUGAUAAACAUAUGUUGUGUACUGACAUGUUAACUGGUCAGAAAACGAACAUGGCGUUGUCAGUUUAUAUUCGAUAUAUGAGUUUGACUGUUCCUGUGAUAUCUUUCGCCCCUCAUCCACUUUCUGUAUUUAUGAAAUCGGUAAAACAAAAUGAAUUUCAAAUUGAACUAAAAUGAUGUGACAGUACUUACGCAGAGAUAAUAAAUAACGUCAUAUUU
rnacentral:lncRNA from 1 species